ACAUGUCUCACUUCCAAGGGGAGCACACUCCCCACUCAUCUGACCUUAUUUGCAGCUAUAGUGCAAGUCUGAUUAAAAUGUAACUGGCUGAACACCUUGUGCACGCUAGUAAUUGUCAUAGAUGUCCAUAGUGAAACAAACGCAACUGGAAUGGGCCUUUCCCUGCACAUUCUUAGCGGUUUGCCACAAGGGGUCACUCCAUUGUGGCAGAGCAAAAAGAAUUGGUAGCGUGCCCAACCAACCAGGCUUGUCUGAAUCCCUCUUUCUUCUCGGCCUCCUUGGAUGUUGGAGAAACCCUUUUGGCAGCCCCAUAAUCCAGGCUGGCUCUUGAGAUGGAACCCCUUGUUCCUUAGCAUGUCCGACAGUGGUCGGGAACACAGCUCAGGACUGAACCUUUCUUCCACCUUUGUUAAUGCAAUGAUCCUAAAAUGCUGGGGGUGGACUUUGCAGUCUAGUGAGAUGGAUGAUAUGCUAGCCCCCCACCUCUGGAGACAAGAAUUCACCUUCUGAUUUGCUCACAAAUAAAGUAGGCCUUCUUUCCCUGGGUAUCUGUCCUCCGUGUAGUCUGAGAAUUGAGGUGCAUGGCUAGAACUGCGCAAAGAGAGCCAGCUAAAACUCCUACUGCUGUAUACCUGGCUCCAAUCAUGGUUGUUUCCCCCCUGCUCUCCUGAGCACCAAACUUGCGUACCCUUUUAAUGGAUUUGUGUUAACAUGAGUAGGUGUUUCCGAUUGAAGCCCACAGUCUAUUCUGCUCAUCACCAGAUGGCUUGCACUGUGGAACUUGGUGUGUCCAGGGGAUUUUGCCAAUGGGAGAUAUGUGGCCUGAUGCUCUAGUUUACGACUUGUUUUAACUCCUGCAUUCUGGUGGCUCUUUGUACUAGUACUGGCUGGACAGGGAGGACACUUCCAGCUACUAAAACAAUGAGGAAUCCAGUGGCACCUUAAAGACUAACAGAUUUAUUUGGGCAUAAACUUUUGUGGGUAAAAAAAUCACUUCUUCAGUUACUGGCAGUGGAGUAUUGUUUCCCUUGCCCAUUGAUGAGCUGUGGUUUUGAAAAUUGUGUUCACCUUCACAGCCCCAAAGCCACAACCAGUAGCCCACCCUGAAAUCUAGAGGAGACUUGAGGAAGUGCUGGGGAGUAUGGAGACAAGGUUCUUUCAGCCUGGCCUUGCUCUGCACCUGCUCCUGGCACAGGUGAAUUCGAUCUGGCUCUUGAAGCUCAGGGAAGCCCAGCAUUGGAUCCAGGAUAAAGUAAAGGAGUGGCGGCAGAAGGGAGGAUGUUGGGCCCAGGAAUGCUUGGAAUGCAGUUGUCCUGGGGUGUGGCUAUCCAAACAGACUGAAUUUUGUUUCAUGUUAAUAACCAGGAUUCUCAUUGACCAUCUCAGCAGGCUGUCCCUGGCCCAUUAGCUCUCUAGCCUUGUAGAUCACCCUAGCAGCAGCUGAAUGCUCUGUUUCAUCCCUCUCCUCUCCAGCUUUGGCUUUUAAAAACAGAGAUUAGUCCUGGAAUUGGGUGAUCAAAUGGAGGUUUCCCAGUCUCUGUGGCUGUUGCUGCUGGUGACGAUUGGAUUGUAUCCUGGAGACCUAGGCGAUAAUGCAAUCUGAUUUUGUAAAUGAACUCCCUGGGAGAUUUAGAUUAAAUCACUGAUGGAAAGUCACUGGUCUCUGCUUGUUGGGAAUGCAGUACCCCUCCCCCACCCCAACCGAGUAUCACAGUGUGCUUCCUUUUUGUCUGAGCACAAAUUCAUUGUUUGAAACAAAUAUUUGUUCAGCAGAUUGCAUGAGGGCAGGAUUCCUCUGUGUCUGACACACCCACUGGCUCCUGCUCUUAAGAUGGCUAUUAGCCGGGUUUUUUUUGUUUUUGUUUUUUGUUUGCCAGACAGAGAAGCAGCUUUGCUCUGUCCUGGUAUCUCUGAUUGUGAUUCUGGCUGGCUUGUAUUGUUUAUUGCAAGCUGGCCGAACUGUGUGACACAGCCAUUGGUGCAGGGAGGCAGUGCAGAUGCCCAUGAUGCCCAAAGAGAAGGUCUGGGCUGUUUCUGUAGGUUCUUCUACACUGCCAGCUGUAGAAAAGAUGUGGGGUGUGGCUCCAUUACAGGGGCUUCGAACCAGACACAAGACUGGAGCUUUGAUAGCUUUAGUGGUGGUGCUUUUGGCCUUGUUAGCACUAGGCCUUCCCCCCCAUCCCAGAUUUCCCAGUCUUGUUCUCUUUGUUCAGCUCUGCUGCUGCUAACAAUGGUGCUAAUGUUAAUAUUGCAUCACAACUGUUUGUAAAAGUUCAGCCAUCCUAAUAGGGGUGGAGGGUUAUGGUUAUCUUCUGUUUCACCUUCCCCUGCUUCUAGAUGCAGAGAGAAACCAUUGGCCUCUUCUGAGCUAGUUCUGCCAUGAGCCUUUAACCAGUGAGUGCUCCUCCUGGCCCAGUGAUGGAGUAAUCUCUCUGUCACUGUCCUGUUUGCACAGGGUUACUGCUCACCUACAGUGUAUAUGGUGCAUGCUGAGCAGCUGUUGCCUGGUGUAUUCACAAAAAGGUGCCAUAGCCAAAUCUCAAACAGAGGAAUGCAAGUUCUGACUGGCCUGCUAGUGAGAUCUGGUCAGAAAGUAAAGGCUGGCAUUGAAGGUUCUGGCAACAUCUGUGCAAUUCCAUGAAUAAGUGGGAACUGGAGAAUAUACUGCUGUUUGCUGAUGCUGACUGUCCUGUCUCUUGGCUGGAGCAUUGAGCUUUGUCCCAUUGGAGUAAAGCAGACAGUUCCCUAAAGUACUGAUUUCCUGGAUGCUUAACGUGUAAACACACCAAGGAGGCAAAGAAAUUGAGGAUGGCUCAGGGGAGUAUAAUGAGAAGUAAUGGAUGAAGAUUCAACAAAGGAAAGGUUAGGGUUCAGAUUUCUCACUGGAAAGAACUAUUAGUCAUAUGCAAUAGUGGAAUAGUUUCUCAAGAAAAAUAAUGCCAAUAGAAUUAUCUGAAGUCUGAAAAACUGGACAUCACUGGAAGAGGGAUAGACUAGAUGAAACCUCUUCCCCCUUCCUCUGACCUGCCCAACCCAGAUUUUCCAGAUGCUGAAUGGUAGCCAGGUUGGACAAAGUCCUGCUGAAUUGCAUUGCAGCAGGAUGGAGUCUUGUGGUGCUUUGUGGAGAAAACCCUCUAGAUAAUAUGAUUAUGGAGAGUCUAUUUUCUAAUGUCGUUUUUUUUGAAUGAUGGGAAAUGACACAGACACUUGUCGUAUGACAGCAAGUUGUGCUCUGCAUACACCCUCUGUUUUCACAGAGAAAACUCGAGACAUUGCAUCUCACCCUUCGUCAGACUUUUUGCUCCUCUUCAUGUCUACUCCUAUGAUUGCUAUUCCACUGUGGGGAUUGGGAAUAACCAUGUCGAGGCAUUCAUCUUAUUCUCUUAGAGACUUCUGGAGUGGACUCAGUGGUAGAAUUUGCGGCUGCUGAAUUGGAAUUAAUUUGCAAACUGGAUACA